UUGUAGCAUUAUAGAAGAUCUAGCAGAUACACCAAUGGACGAAUCAAGCGACGAUGACAUCAACAAAGGUUCUGAUGACAUAAAGAAUAUUGAAAACCAGAAAUAUUUGCCCGCACUUGUGGAUAACGAGGUUUAUCAAGACAAAUUAAAACUAGCUAUUGUGUUAAUGCCUUUCAUUAUUCUUAUUUUGUCGAUAACUACGACGAACUUUGUUAAAAAAAGACGAUGAAAUUUCUCUGUCAGCUUCAGGUAAUUAAACAAAAAGUAUUUAAAAUCAAACCUUCCCGAUUGAUUUUGUGCUAGCUUAACCUCCUACUUAUAUAUGUAUAAUACAUGUAGCUGUUUAGUAAAAAUAGGUUAAUUAUCACAUUAAGACAUAAUUGGUUAACGUGAUAAUUUUAAGGAGUCUGCAUAGCCGUUCGGCCAUGCUUCAAGGUGCACAUUUUGAAUUGUUUUUAUCUUAAGUCUUUUUUUACAAUAUGAUUAUCAAUGUAUUCAAAAUGUUGAAUUGUUAGCCUUAUUAUCAGAAGUGAGAAAAUCGCAUAAUCUCUUCAUUAUACAAAAUCAAUCACACAUUUAACAAACCAAAAACACAUGCACAGCGUUUUUAAUGACAAAGCAGCCUAAGAUGAUGUCUUCAGCACGUAUCAAACGUAAUCCACGUUUAAAACAGCUCCUUACACCGUUUGAAACGCAAGUUAUUUAGAAUAUUUGGACUGUUUUAUUUAAUAUGUCGGUUUAGUUCACGCAUCAUUGUAAAUAUAACGGAAUUUGAUGAGACUGUCAUCAAAGUGAGAGGUUUAGCGCUAUAAAUCCAGGUUUAAUCCACCAUUUUCUACAUUUGAAAAUGCAUGUACCAAGUUAGGAAUAUGACAGUUCUUGUCCAUUCGUUUUUUGAUGAGUUUUGUUAUUUGAUUUUGUGAUUAUGGACUUGCCAAUUAGAUUUUCCUCUACGUUCAGUAUUUUUGUGAUUUUACUUUUUAUUGAUACAUGUCUUACAUUUUAUUUUUAGAUAAUUAUAUACAUACUUGUAAUCUAAUAAAAUUAACGGUACUAAUUUUCUUGCACCAGAUGCGCAUUUCGACAAUACAUGUCUCUUCAGUGAUGCUCGUGGCCAAAAUAUUUAAAAUCCAAAGCUUAUAUAAAAGAUGAAGAGCUAUAAUCCAAAAGGUCCAAAAAAGUAUAGCCAAAUCCGUGAAAGGAAUCAGAGCUUUGCAUGAGGGAGAUACAUUCCUUAAUUUAUAAUAAUUUCUAUCAUUUUUGUAACAGUAAAAUUUUAAUAACACAAAAAAAAUCCGUAUUUUCAUGCCAGUACCGAAGUACUGGCUACUGGGGUGGUGAUACCCUCGGGGACUAAUAGUCCACCAGCAGAGGCAUCGACCCAGUGGUAGUAAUAAAAUUAACGGUACUAAUUUUCUUGCACCAGAUGCGCAUUUCGACAAUACAUGUCUCUUCAGUGAUGCUCGUGGCCAAAAUAUUUAAAAUCCAAAGCUUAUAUAAAAGAUGAAGAGCUAUAAUCCAAAAGGUCCAAAAAAGUAUAGCCAAAUCCGUGAAAGGAAUCAGAGCUUUGCAUGAGGGAGAUACAUUCCUUAAUUUAUAAUAAUUUCUAUCAUUUUGUAACAGUAAAUUUUAAUAACACAAAAAAUCCGUAUUUUCAUGCCAGUACCGAAGUACUGGCUACUGGGGUGGUGAUACCCUCGGGGGACUAAUAGUCCACCAGCAGAGGCAUCGACCCAGUGGUAGUAAUAAAAUUAACGGUACUAAUUUUCUUGCACCAGAUGCGCAUUUACUCUAACUUAAGAAAUUUCAGGAUGUUCCAUCCCGUUUCAUGGAGAAAUUUUGAGACUUUCAAGACAAUUGGAAAACAUAAGCAUGUUAUUGAUGAAUGAACAUGUUUCAGUUGAAGCACAUGGGAAGAAUAUUAAGCAACAAAGGAAGACACACACAUGUGUAUAUGAUCAACUAAAUGGCGAAUUAAAAAGAUUAAAGGAAAAAGUUCAGCUAUUAAAUUCCACAAAGGGUAAGCUACUAUCAGAGAUACAAGAGAGGCGAGAUAUAUCCCAAAGGGAUUUUCAAACUCAGAUGUCGAUGACAAACUGACAAC
rnacentral:lncRNA from 1 species